AAAUAAGUCGAAAAGAAAAUUCAUGUGUUUUGAUUUGCUAUAUGACUCGGAUACUCGCAUUGUUGUGUUUGUGGUUUGAAAAUAGUAAUUUUAACUGGUUUGUUAGUGGCUCUAGAGCGAGUUUACUAGAGUACCUGCCGAACACGAUACAACAACGCUGAUACUGAAAACCGCGCGAGUUCGCUAAACAACAACCACUUCAGCCAAACAUCCCAAAAGUAUGGUCAUGGUCGGCACAACAGAAAAAUCUCCAACCAAGCUUCACUGGUUUUGGUUCCCUUCUUCCUUCAAUAGCUGGUCUCCUUGGACGUGGAAUUGGAGUUUUGUUGGAACUGCCUGUCGGGAAGGUGAACACCAAACAGCUGGCAACGAGGGUCAGAUGAAGGCCACGCCUUCGCAGAAAAGUCCUAGUCCCGUGACCACCAAGUUGGAGGGAAAAACUGAGGACUAGGGAUCAGUCCUGCGAUCGUGUUGUCCGCGAGGAAUUGAGGACCAAGCACUAAUCAAGGACUAGUCCCAUUUGUUGGCGGUGAUGUCUUAUAAUACAGCCCCUCUCCCUUAUGGUACAAUUAGAUAGGAAGCUGUUUUGAGACUGUUUAGAAAUGAUAACAGUGAAGAGUUAUAAAGGGAUACUAGUAAAAAAAAAAAAUUUAGAAAGUCAAAACACGUGGUAAUUUUUUUUUAUAUCAAAACAGAUUGUUUGACUUAGAACCACUCUAUUCUAUAUAUGUAUGUAUCCACCAAAAAUAAAAUAAAAAUCAACUGUCAAACUA